UGGGGAAUAUUGCACAAUGGGCGCAAGCCUGAUGCAGCCAUGCCGCGUGUGUGAAGAAGGCCUUCGGGUUGUAAAGCACUUUCAGCGAGGAGGAAGGUGGUGAGCUUAAUACGCUCAUCAAUUGACGUUACUCGCAGAAGAAGCACCGGCUAACUCCGUGCCAGCAGCCGCGGUAAUACGGAGGGUGCAAGCGUUAAUCGGAAUUACUGGGCGUAAAGCGCACGCAGGCGGUUUGUUAAGUCAGAUGUGAAAUCCCCGGGCUCAACCUGGGAACUGCAUUUGAAACUGGCAAGCUAGAGUCUCGUAGAGGGGGGUAGAAUUCCAGGUGUAGCGGUGAAAUGCGUAGAGAUCUGGAGGAAUACCGGUGGCGAAGGCGGCCCCCUGGACGAAGACUGACGCUCAGGUGCGAAAAGCGUGGGGAGCAAAACAGGAUUAGAUACCCUGGUAGUCCACGCUGUAAAACGAUGUCGAUUUUGGAGGUUGUGCCCCUUGAGGCGUGGCUUCCGGAGCUAACGCGUUAAAUCGACCGCCUGGGGAGUACGGCCGCAAGGUUAAAAC
rnacentral:rRNA from 1 species